UAUCCUGUAGAGUCUGCAUAUCAAUAAGCGGAGGAAAAGAAACUAACUAGGAUUCCCUCAGUAACGGCGAGUGAAGCGGGAAGAGCUCAAAUUUGAAAUCUUCAAGGUUUUACCUUGACGAAUUGUAGUUUAAAGAAGUGUUUUCUGUUGGAGUUUUGGUAAAAGUUCUUUGGAAUAGGACAUCAUAGAGGGUGAGAAUCCCGUAUUUGACCAUUAUUUCCAGCUUUGUGAUACACUUUCAAAGAGUCGGAUUGUUUGGGAAUGCAGUCCAAAAUGGGUGGUAAAUUUCAUCUAAAGCUAAAUACUGGCGAGAGACCGAUAGCGAACAAGUACCGUGAGGGAAAGAUGAAAAGAACUUUGAAAAGAGAGUUAAACAGUACGUGAAAUCGUCAAAAGGGAAGCGUUUGACACCAGUGUUGUUUUCUCGAAAAUCAAUUAAAAAUGGCGGGAUUUUGUGUUGUAUUGACUUUAUCAGCUUUCUGCACUCUUUUCCUGUCUUUUUUAAUGCACUUUUCGUUUAACAAGUCAACAUCAAUUUCUUUCGUUGUAAAAGAGUCAUUGGAAGGUGGCUUUCUUUUCGGAGAAAGUGUUUAUAGCCUUUGGCCUCUGCAAUCGGAGAGAUUGAGGUCUGCAGCGUAGAUCCCUUCGGGGUUAGAUACAUUUGUGCUAAGUUAUAGCCUUUCAUAGACAACUUGUUGACUAUGAUCAGUCAUGUAGCUUACUCGCUUAUGCUAUUUUACCUACGCUUAGGAUGUUGAGUCAUCACACAUCUCU
rnacentral:rRNA from 1 species